GUCUAUGGCCAUACCACCCUGAAUGUGCCCGAUCUCGUCUGAUCUCAGAAGCUAAGCAGGGUCGGGCCUCAUUAGUACUUGGAGGAUAGACAAUACAUAAAUGGGUGUGAUGUUCC
rnacentral:rRNA from 1 species